AAUUUUGACUGUAAGUAAUCAAAUCAGUAAUAAUAUUUAUAAGUAAGUGAAAAAUUAGAACUGAGCUGUCUGGUACUAAGAAAAUAAAUGAAUAAAAUAACUUGAACUUAAAUUUUUUAGGUUUGAUAUUAAUCUAAUAACUACUUGAUGAAUGAUGUCCUUUCUAAAAAAAAAUUAUCUGAAAUAAUUCGAUACAUAUUUGAUCAUUACAUUACGGAUUUUUGACAAUAAUACAAUGAUAUUGUUAUUGCGCAAUCAAAAUUCGUUUCUCUUUUCUUAUGUUUUGAUGCCAAAUCUGGCGAUUUAGUUACUACUUAGUGAAUGUUGAUCAUGCCUCCCGCACGUGAGCAGUUUGCUGUCAUUGGUUGACAUUCGCUCAUGCCCAGACGACUCGCCGUAAAUUUUCUGUUUAGAUCAUGCGCCGGCUUUGAAAUUCCAUGUGUGUUGGUGCUACUCGUCACGUCCAGACGUGAAAAGUACUUUUUUAAUUCUACAUAGGAUAAGGCUGUACGAAAUACAACACUUGGGGGCGUGAGGAGGUGUUGCUCCACCCCUUCGACAGUUGAGAUCGGUCGGGAGAAGAAGGGCCUCUUAAGAUAAAGGGAUGAAAACACCAAAACCAGUUUUAUUGCCCGAUGAAAUUUGGAAUUGUUUCUAAUAAACGCUUUUCAACCUGUC